rnacentral:rRNA from 1 species
GACCUGAUGCAGCCAUGCCGCGUGUGUGAAGAAGGCCUUCGGGUUGUAAAGCACUUUCAGUUGUGAGGAAAGGUUGGUAGUUAAUACCUGCCAGCUGUGACGUUAACAACAGAAGAAGCACCGGCUAACUCCGUGCCAGCAGCCGCGGUAAUACGGAGGGUGCGAGCGUUAAUCGGAAUUACUGGGCGUAAAGCGCACGCAGGCGGUUUGUUAAGCUAGAUGUGAAAGCCCCGGGCUCAACCUGGGAUGGUCAUUUAGAACUGGCAGACUAGAGUCUUGGAGAGGGGAGUGGAAUUCCAGGUGUAGCGGUGAAAUGCGUAGAUAUCUGGAGGAACAUCAGUGGCGAAGGCGGCUCCCUGGCCAAAGACUGACGCUCAUGUGCGAAAGUGUGGGUAGCGAACAGGAUUAGAUACCCUGGUAGUCCACACCGUAAACGCUGUCUACUAGCUGUGUGUGAAUUUAAUUCGUGAGUAGCGAAGCUAACGCGCUAAGUAGACCGCCUGGGGAGUACGGCCGCAAGGUUAAAACUCAA